CGUACUUAUCCCGGCAGCCCCCGCGCUCGCCCCUCACGUGACAGUGUUACAGUCGAUAGGGGCGGGAGAAGAGAGCCUUGAAAAGGGAAGGAGGCUGGUCGGCCGGCUGAUGCCGGAAGUGCGAUGGGUGGACCUCCUGUUGGGCGGGUCUGGGGCGGGGCUACGAGCGUGCUGGGCGGAGCCAGGCGGGUAGGCACGCGACGUUCGGCCUGGUUCUGUCAGCGCGUAGAAGACCAGCGAGGUGUGACGAGGGAGUAGGUAGGAUGACGCUCGUGGUCGGUGCUGUCACAGUGGGGAGGUGCCCAUUCGCCUUCCACGCCGACUUGGUCCUCCCUGGAAACAGUGGACAAACCUUGUGUGGCUGUUCUCGGAGCUUCCGGCCGGCUCGCCCCGCCCUUCCCACACUUCUGGUGGAAUGACUAGGGGAACCUGCUCACUGUAGAGAGCUAGCUGCCGGCCGGAUUCUUGGAGGUUUCUCUGGAGCCGGCUUAAACCGCCCACGUCCCGUUUGAACACAACCAUGCUUUUAGAAAGGGCUGCUACGAAGGUGGACUCUCAACCAGCGGGCAUAAAUAUGUGCCGUUGUGGCACAUAAAUAUGUGGCAGUUAACCCAAGUGUAAGAGAAACUCCUGCGUUUUCGUUGGUCUCAGGGAAAGCCUUGGCCCCCGACCCCUUCAUCCUCGGGCGCUUCCUUUUCACACUCUGCUGGAAAAAUUACUUCCUAGGGAUGAGGGUGUGGGAAGCCAGUAAUCAUGUACCGAAUGAAGACCUGAAUUGGCUUCUUCUUCCUAGCUUUCAUUUUUAUAGAUUUUUCUUCUUAAAGUGUAGAAGUUAAUGGAAGGAAUUUUACUAAAAUAUUCAGCUGAUUGGACUUAUUCUGAAUUGUAUGUCAAAAAUACAAGACAGGGAAAAACGCAACGCCGUAUCAUGGCUUUAUGGUCCUUGGUUUAAAGGACGCUUCUCCAAGCAAGGGGGCUUCCCUGAUGGCUUAGUGGGUAAAGGAAUACACCUGCAAUGCAGGAGACACAGGAGAUGGGUUGGACAGAGGAUGCUGGCCGGCUACAGUCCAUGGGGUCGCAAAGAGUCGGACAUGACUGAGCGACUAAGCACAUUCCCCAAACAAGAGUGUCUCAAACUGUCGGAUUGUUUGGCACCCUGAAGUUUCACCAUGGUAAGAAUUCAUGACAGCCGCUGCUCAUCAUAAAGGGACACAGAGUGAUUCCACCCAGCCAGCACCGCACCUAACUUGUAACCCGCAGGUUCUACUGCUCGCCCAUCAUGCGGAACCACAUUUCACAAGGAAGGAAUGGUCCAUCGAGCCCUGCAUCAGAACCAUUGGGGGAUUGUUAAAAACACAGCUUCCAUAACUUAUUCCUGGUUCCCUGACUUGAAAUGUCUUGGAAUGAGGCUAUUUGAAUAAACUCCUCAGGUAAUUCUGAUGAUACAUAAAGUUUGAGAACCCUUGACAUGGACAGAGUGACUUGUCAAAAUCAUGGUAUGGCCAUGUCGCUGUUCUACCUAAAUUCUUAAUUGGCUCCACUAAGGCACAGAAGCAAGUGGAAAUUUUUUUCACCUGUCAAAUACAGCUUUCAUGAUAUCACCUUUGCGUAGGUCUCUGGGUUUUUCUCUCUUUAACAUCUGCUGUGUGCUUAAAAUUGCAGCAACAAAGGACAGAGCAUGCCACUUCUCGCCUUCUUAUCUGUGCCCACCGGAUUGUCUAUCUGGAAUGUUCUGUCCAUCUUUCUUUCAUUUCAGAUUCCCUCUAUUUGGAAUGCUCCUUUAAGUCAUCACCAGUAAUGCUCUUUCUCUGAAUAGAUUGGUCUUAUAUUGAAUUAUAAAUGUAAUGUUCUUUUUCUGUCCAACUUAACCUACUUGACCAUGACAUGCCUUCAGAACACAGGAUGAAUAUGUGAGUGAGUUUGGCUGUAAGCCACAAAACUCAACUCUGAAUAAAUGAGUCAAGUGAAAAAAGAAGCAUUGGUAAGAUACGGGAUGGCUAGGAGAUAAAAGGGAGGUUUGUCCACUACACUUAGGAAGGACAGACACCAGAGAGGCUGUAGAUCCUAGUCACAGGAACUCCUGCUCAGGCCAAGGGAGAGCACUGAGGGCUGCAAAGUAGACGCAUGACUGGUGGCCCCACCAAAGUCACAUGAGAGGAAGAAAAGUCAGUUCCUCCAAAGGAAGAGGAUGUGGUACUGUCACUGAACAAGGUGAGGAGAUGCUUGACAGACAAAAACAGUAGCUCCCACUCCACUGAGUCUUGCUCCUGAUUGUGUCCUCAGUGUCUUGUGAGGACCCAGACACAUGGUAGACUCUCCUUGGAUGUUUGCUGGAUAAAUGAACCCGGAGACAACUAACAUUUAUUCACACUACCUUCCAGGCAAUGAGCAAGAGUUUCAAUGUCAUUGAAUUCCACCUCUCAGAACAGUUCUACAAGUAAACAUUAUCUGUGUUUUCCAGAUGAGGAAACGAAAACCAAAGAAGUGACUUGCCAAGAUCACUCAGUUAGCAAGAGAAAAAUCUAGGACCUUGAACAUGUCCUGUACUGCCUUCCCCUGCCGCUGCUGCUGCUGCUAAGUCACUUCAGUUGUGUCUGACUCUGUGCGACCCUAGAGACGGCAGCCCACCAGGCUCCCCCAUCCCUGGGAUUCUCCAGGCAAGAACA